rnacentral:rRNA from 1 species
UACGUAGGGGGCUAGCGUUGUCCGGAAUCAUUGGGCGUAAAGCGCGUGUAGGCGGUCCGGUAAGUCCGCUGUGAAAGUCGGGGGCUCAACCCUCGAAUGCCGGUGGAUACUGGCGAUCUCGAGUCCGGGAGAGGUGAGUGGAACUGCGAGUGUAGAGGUGAAAUUCGUAGAUAUUCGCAAGAACACCAGUGGCGAAGGCGGCUCACUGGCCCGGUACUGACGCUGAGGUGCGAAAGCGUGGGGAGCAAACAGG